GUUGUUGAGCAGAUUGAUUCCCUGACCUCCGACCUGCAGCUGGAGGAUGAGAUGACCGACAGCUCCAAAACGGACACCUUGAACAGCAGCUCCAGUGGUACCACAGCCUCCAGCAUAGAGAAGAUCAAAGUGCAGGCCAGCGCACCCCUCAUCAAACCCCCGGCACACCCGUCCGCCAUCCUCACAGUCCUAAGAAAGCCAAAGCCUCCGCCGCCUCCACCACGGCUGACACCUGUGAAGUGCGAAGACCCACAGAGAGGGGUGCCCACUGCCCAUCCUGUGAAGACCAAUGGCACUCUUCUGCGAAACGGGGGCUUGUCCUGUGGACCUAGCAAAAUCCCAAACGGAGACAUCUGCUGCAUGCCCAGUCUUAAUCUGGACAAGACUUCACUACAGCCUCUGAUGCAUAGACCUGAAAAAGACAGGUGUCCCCAGGCAGGGCCUCGGGAACGAGUGCGGUUUAAUGAGAAAGUACAAUACCAUGGCUACUGUCCUGACUGUGACAACCGAUAUAACAUGAAAACCAGGGCAGUCCACUCGCACAGCGAGCCUGUCCAUCCCCCAGGAAAGACUCCGCACCAAGGGCCGCCGCUCCCUUCUGCCCCCCACCUCCCUCCCUUCCCAUUAGAAAAUGGGAGCCUGGGAAUCAGCCACAGCAGCAGUUUUCCCCCUCUCAGACCUGCAACUGUGCCUCCUCCCACUGCGCCAAAACCACACAAGACCAUCCUGAGGAAGUCCACCACCACCACGGUGUGAUGUAUGCCAUUUUAAAACUUCUUGGCUCUUAAUUUCUAUAUCAUUAUCAUUAAAUAAUAAGUAAUGAGCACUUUCUACUCAAGCAAUAAAAAGCUCAAAUAUAUUAAUCCUGCAUUCAACAAAGUGGCAUAAAACCAACUGCCCCUGCAGGAUGGAUGCACCUUUGUUUGGUGGCACGUCAAUUCAGUUUUCUCACUUACAAUUCAUCUUUAUGACUCCUUGAGGCCAGACCUAUCUCCACAGUAACCAGGAGCCUGACCAUGACAGAGCAGCAAAACCUUCAACUUCAAGCACAAUGAUCACUGAUAUGGUCUGCAUAAAACCUUCUAGCUACAGCCAUGUGCAGAGCCCUGGGGGCAAAAAAAGCCACAGCCUUAAAUAUUUUCACUCAGAAAUUACUAAAAUAUGCAGAUGAAAAAUACUAAAUAAAAAGCCAAUAAAUGAAUGAAAGACAAACCAAACUCAUUUUAUUUCAUUAUGGAAAUAAAAUAUUCUCAGAUAUGAGCCCACAUGACAAAAUUCAAAUUCAGCUAUUAAACUAGGAAGUUAUAAAUUGAUUUAUCAUUUGUGAAGGUUAAAGUAUAGAGACAAGCGGUGUCCCUAUUCGGAAUCACUUGUCAUUUCAAAAUAUGUAGAUACAAACCAAAAUGAACAGACAGGAGCCUCAGUGAGCAGCAGGGACAGAAGAUUGCUGUGCACAGAGAGGACAGUCACUGUCUGUGUGCACCUAAAGCCAUAAAGUGUAAUAGCAUCGUUGCCAGUUAUUUGAGCAGCUUCCGGGUUUAGUCCCUCCUCACCCUUUGUUGGCUGAGAGGGGGAAGUCAGUUCUUACUCACUACCCUCAGAUAUGUUGCUGGUUAUUUGCACUGUCACCUCCAUUCAGGGUAAUAAAGCAUGCUGUGAUUUGCACAGAUGGUCCCAAGGGUUUUGAGACCAGGGGAAGUUUCUCACAGGAGUCUAAAAAGGAAAACUUUACAAUUCUCAAGACAUUGAUUUUUCUCCUAUAAAAAUCGGUGAACUGAAGAGAUGUCUCCAAUUUAAAAGCAUAGCAAAUCAACUACAGAAUAAUAAAGUAUCAGUGUGAUCAAAUAAAAUAAAAGGGAGAUAAAACAUUUUAAUAAAAAUUAUUUUCUAUUAUUAACUUCAAGAAGUCAAAUACAGGUGAAUUGCCCACUAAACAUUUGUGU